rnacentral:tRNA from 1 species
AUAGCUUUAGCUUAAUUAAAGCGUCUGUGUUGCAUGCAGAAGAUGUGGGUUAGUAGUCCGCAAGUUUUA